GUAGGUGGCAAGCGUUGUCCGGAAUUAUUGGGCGUAAAGCGCGCGCAGGCGGUUCUUUAAGUCUGAUGUGAAAGCCCACGGCUCAACCGUGGAGGGUCAUUGGAAACUGGAGAACUUGAGUACAGAAGAGGAAAGCGGAAUUCCACGUGUAGCGGUGAAAUGCGUAGAGAUGUGGAGGAACACCAGUGGCGAAGGCGGCUUUCUGGUCUGUAACUGACGCUGAGGCGCGAAAGCGUGGGGAGCAAACAGGGAUUGGAUACCCUGGUAGUCCACGCCGUAAACGAUGAGUGCUAAGUGUUAGGGGGUUUCCGCCCCCUUAGUGCUGCAGCUAACGCAUUAAGCACUCCGCCUGGGGAUACGGCCGCAAGGCUG
rnacentral:rRNA from 1 species